rnacentral:rRNA from 1 species
GACGAACGCUGGCGGCGUGCUUAACACAUGCAAGUCGAACGAAGUGGCGAACGGGUGAGUAACGCGUAAUCAACCUGCCCUUCAGAGGGGGACAACAGUUGGAAACGACUGCUAAUACCGCAUACUGAAGGUGGGGAUUGCGGCUGAUGAGCUAGUUGGGGGGGUAACGGCCCACCAAGGCGAUGAUCAGUAGCCGGUCUGAGAGGAUGAACGGCACAAUUUGGACUGAGACACGGCCCAGAAUCCUACGGGAGGCAGCCGUGGGGAAUCUUUCGCAAUGGGCGAAAAUCUGACGGAGCAACGCCGCGUGAGUGAGGACGGCCUUCGGGUUGGAAAGCUCUGUUAAUCGGGACGCGGUACCGGAAUAGAAAGCCACGGCUAACUACGUGCCAGCCGCCGCGGUAAUUC